CACUUUAUCCUAGAAUCGCUUUGCAUUCUUCCAAGCCACCACAUGGAAAAGGGUAGGGGGAGGGGGGUGGAGCAGAUAAAAGUGCAGAGAGAUAGGUUGAUAGAUAUGCAUUGCAUGGUUGUGAUUCCAUGGCUGCAUUAUUGCGUCCAUCAACCCAAUUAAGAUGAGAUUUCACGUCGCCCUUUGGAUGAAACUGUGACCACCUAGAGAACCUUGAGAAAAGGAGGAGGAGAAGAAGAGGACAUGUGUGCUUGUGCUCCUCCUCCUCCUCCUUACAGGAGUAAUUUGAAGCACCUUGACUUGUGGGCACACCCUUCUUCUUCUUCUUCUUCUCCUUUUUUCCCUUUCCCUAUCCAUCUAACCCAAAGCUGAGUCUGCCCUAAACAUACGUGCCCCUCUGCCCUACCAUCAUCCCCCGAAGCCUUUUCUGGUCUCCUUUGUUCUGCUCCACAGUUGGUGAGGAGAAUCCCACUCACCUUUCUUCCCUCCAUUGUUUGCUUAUCCUUUCUUCCCCCUUUUCUCAUGUGUGCUUGCCCUUCCCUUCACGUUGGCUGGUAUGAUAUGGCCAAAGCAAAAGGUGGGGGGGGAUUGGGAGGGGGGCACCAUGUUCUGACCAAAGGCGCAGGAAAAGAUGGAGUCAGGUUCCCAACAUGCACAAACCCAAAGCAAGCUUCAUCUUCCGUGCAUGCCACCACCUGCACCAUGCUGCCGGGCGAGGUGGCUACUGCAAAAUCCAAAGAGGCAACUUGAUUUCAACAGAGCACUUUGUUGUGAGUUAUGCCAGAGAAAUGAGAAAACAGAUACAUAGAGGCUUCAAUCACUGAACAGUUAUGAUGAUGACCUUUCAUUUCUGUGGUGGAAGGGACUGUCAAGCAGUGAUCUUUGGCAGUGUUGACACAUCGAUGCAAGGAAUGCUUCUCAUACUUGAAGCUUCAGAAAGGACAACUGGUAUUUUCUUUCUUCUGGAUGCAGAUUUGUCCCUUGAGCCCAUAAACACCAUGAAUUGAAGGGCAGGUGAAUGGAGUCUCCUUGACUGUCAACAGAAAUAUACCUCUUGUCUGGGCUGGAGGUGGAUCUAUCCAUCCAUUUGGGUUGAGCUUUGGGCCUACUACUCCAUGGGAAGAUUGUGGCUCCACCCCAAGAUUCACUUGGUGCUUGGAUCAACCUCAGAUGCUGUGAUGAGAAGAUUUGUGAGCUUGAGAUGGCUUCUUCCAAAGAAAAUAGCUACAGUACUUGGAACAAGUCAUUCUAUCAUCACUGUAUUUCUAGAUUAUUAACACAAAAUCAUCUUUCUUGCAUUUCCUCACAUUUAUUGUCUGCAUCACAUUUUAGGAAUAAGAUUGUGGGUGUUCAGUGAACAUGGAAGCUGAGCCUCAGCCCUUGUCAGCUAGCAAUGAUCAAUCCUGUUGUUAUCAGCCUCAACUGAAACCUCAAGUUAGCAAUGUAAUCUUUGUCAAAGCAUACAUCAUGUGUUCUUCAUGCAAGUUUGUGUUAUAUUCCUUUGAUGAUAUAACAACACAUUGCUGCAAGCUUGCACAGCAACAAAAACAGAAAAAGACAUCUCAGAUGGUAAUUAUGGUCACUUCAAUAUCUGGUGGAAGGCCUGAAUCAGGUGCAGAAGAAUCAUUAUCUCUGGUCAGCAGACAAGGAUAGCUAAUUUGUCUUGGUUUUCCUCAAGCAGAAAUAAAAGCAAAUCUUGUUAGCCAAUAACAUUCGUCCACCAUCCUUUUGUUCAUCUCUGGAUUGUGGCCCUGCAGUUUAUAUUCCUUUUUCUUUUUCUGUUCUGUUUCUUCCAUCUUUUCUUUGGAUUAUUUUGCUGUCAUAUUUAUCUGAUUCCUUUCUUUCUGGGGUGCUCAGCUACAGGAAUUGAGCAUCCAUCACAUUGCUCAGACAGAGUGUGCCAUAUCAUGUCCUGUUUUUGUGGAUGAACAAUGGGCAUCAGACAGCUCUGCUGCUGUGUUUGGGUAGACACAAUGUUGUGACAAGUGCUUCCCUGAGUCAAGAAGAGGGAGAUGUGACCUGGGAUUCUUUGGCAGGGAGAAAUCAUGGAUGACAGAGAGGGAGACAUUGCAAGGGCAGACAGGUGCAUGGAUAAUUAUUCCAAAGACACAACAUGCUAUGUGAAAGAAACCUGAAGAUGGCACACAAAGUGCAUGGGAUGGUGGAUGAUGCAAUCAAAGGUAGGAUAAGUUCCAGGCCCUGCUUUUUGAUGUAGAGAAGCUUCAAAGAAACUUCCUCCAGUACACAAUUAUGCUUGAUUGGCAAGGGAUAUGUGAUUGCCAUCUCCUUUUUCUCAUCCAACAUAUGCAAAUCGUUCUCAUGUGAUGUUCACAAAAGCUACAUUGUUCAUACUAUACCCUUUGGAAAGCCACAAAAGUUUUCACAGAAGAAUUAGGUUCAUUAUCCUUCAACAUUAAAUUUUACUUUCCAACAUAAUCAUUCCGAGAUGUAUCUAUCACAAAUCUUUCUUCGAUAAUGUGACCGAUAAAUUAUUUUA